AUACUUAUCUGGCGUAAGAGAUACCGUGAUCAUGCAAGCGGUUCCCCCAGAGCGAGACUGCUCCAUUGCACUGCGAAGUGGUUAACCGUUGCGAUUAUUUUUAUAUUUAUCAAUAAAAAAAUCAUAAUAAAAAAGUAUACCCGAAUAGUUAUUUUCUUUAUAC